AUCCUUUUGUAGUUCCUGAGCAUGAUGAUUGGUGUUUCCGUUCCUGCGUGACAUGUGCCUCCCUCAAAGCUUGUUAUGACAUUGGCACAUUACCCAUCUGACG
ensembl:snoRNA